AGUGAACGCUGGCGGUAUGCCUAACACAUGCAAGUCGAACGGCAGCACAGUAAGAGCUUGCUCUUACGGGUGGCGAGUGGCGGACGGGUGAGGAAUACAUCGGAAUCUACUUUUUCGUGGGGGAUAACGUAGGGAAACUUACGCUAAUACCGCAUACGACCUACGGGUGAAAGCAGGGGAUCUUCGGACCUUUCGCGAUUGAAUGAGCCGAUGUCGGAUUAGCUAGUUGGCGGGGUAAAGGCCCACCAAGGCGACGAUCCGUAGCUGGUCUGAGAGGAUGAUCAGCCACACUGGAACUGAGACACGGUCCAGACUCCUACGGGAGGCAGCAGUGGGGAAUAUUGGACAAUGGGCGCAAGCCUGAUCCAGCCAUACCGCGUGGGUGAAGAAGGCCUUCGGGUUGUAAAGCCCUUUUGUUGGGAAAGAAAAGCAGCAGGUUAAUACCCCGAUGUUUUGACGGUACCCAAAGAAUAAGCACCGGCUAACUUCGUG
rnacentral:rRNA from 1 species